rnacentral:rRNA from 1 species
UACGUAGGGUGCAAGCGUUGUCCGGAAUUAUUGGGCGUAAAGAGCUCGUAGGCGGUUUGUUGCGUCGGCUGUGAAAUCCCGAGGCUCAAACCUCGGGUCUGCAGUCGAUACGAGCAAACUAGAGUGUUGCAGGGGAGACUGGAAUUCCUGGUGUAGCGGUGAAAUGACGCAGAUAUCAGGAGGAACACCGGUGGCGAAGGCGGGUCUCUGGGUAGUAACUGACGCUGAGGAGCGAAAGCGUGGGGUAGCGAAACAGG